rnacentral:rRNA from 1 species
UACGUAGGGGGCAAGCGUUGUCCGGAAUUACUGGGCGUAAAGCGCACGUAGGCGGCUUUGUAAGUUAGAGGUGAAAGCCCGGGGCUCAACCCCGGAAUUGCCUUUAAGACUGCAUCGCUUGAACGUCGGAGAGGUGAGUGGAAUUCCGAGUGUAGAGGUGAAAUUCGUAGAUAUUCGGAAGAACACCAGUGGCGAAGGCGGCUCACUGGACGACUGUUGACGCUGAGGUGCGAAAGCGUGGGGAGCAAACAGG